rnacentral:lncRNA from 1 species
AGGUCUGAUGGGGAUGGAAUGAUUUUCCAGAGUGCAGAGAAGACUGGCAGGCAGUCACCAAGCUCUCCGCUGGUGUUUGGCUGCCUGUGCAGUACAUGGCUCUUUCCUCGGAGUCGCUCACAAAUCCCCCAGACUUUGUUUGAACCUGUUUUUUGUUGAGUUCUUGGCAUAUGAAGGCAACAGCAGGUUAAUAUGCCAUUUGUCGACGACUGACCGAGAGGAUGCCCUGAGGUUAGUUGGACGGAGACAUCACUGAGCCAGCUGCAAAAAUGAGAAGUCAGAAGGAAAAAAAAAACCAAAACAACAACAGCAACAACAAAACCGGAUAUCCAAAGCCAUCCCCCUACAAAGAAAGAGAAUGUAGUGGGACCAUCUGACCUCCUGCUCCUGUGCCUUCCCUACCAUGAUAGACCAUGCAUCCCGAAACUGUGAGCCACAAUAGACUGUGCCUCCAAACUGUGAACCAGGGUAAGCCUAUCCUUCCUUAACCUGCUUCUUGUCUUCUGUCACAGCAACAAAGAAGUGACUAAUACACUCCAGCAACUCAACUUGGCCACCACAGCAGUCACAUGUGGCUGAUUCGUAGACUACACUACUACUGUGUGUGCAACUUGUGUAUCUUUGCAAUGAUAGCAGGUGGGCCAUAUUGGGUACGUAUGUAGACUAUAAUUUGUCCUGAAAUAGCUAUUGGUUGGUCAAAAUUUGCUUUAGCAAGAUUCCUUGUGAUAUAAUAAUGUAUAGCCUAGAAGUUCCAUUUCUCAUUUUAUUCUCCCUUUGCUGUUACAAACUCUAUUUCAAAGGCUCUUUUGGAAGCUGAUGGGUGUGGAGAGUGGGCCUAUGGUAGCUUUUAGUGGUAACACGACCUUAGAUUAAUUGCCUAAGA